AUUGAACGCUGGCGGCAUGCCUAACACAUGCAAGUCGAGCGGUAACAGAGAGUAGCUUGCUACUUUGCUGACGAGCGGCGGACGGGUGAGUAAUGCUUGGGAACAUGCCUUGAGGUGGGGGACAACAGUUGGAAACGACUGCUAAUACCGCAUAAUGUCUACGGACCAAAGGGGGCUUCGGCUCUCGCCUUUAGAUUGGCCCAAGUGGGAUUAGCUAGUUGGUGAGGUAAUGGCUCACCAAGGCGACGAUCCCUAGCUGGUUUGAGAGGAUGAUCAGCCACACUGGGACUGAGACACGGCCCAGACUCCUACGGGAGGCAGCAGUGGGGAAUAUUGCACAAUGGGCGCAAGCCUGAUGCAGCCAUGCCGCGUGUGUGAAGAAGGCCUUCGGGUUGUAAAGCACUUUCAGUCAGGAGGAAAGGUUAGUAGUUAAUACCUGCUAGCUGUGACGUUACUGACAGAAGAAGCACCGCUAACU
rnacentral:rRNA from 1 species